rnacentral:lncRNA from 1 species
GAAAAAUGCGUUUAGACGUUGCCCAAACCCUUGUGAGAAUUUUCCAUCUUUUUCCGGAAAUUAUUUUCCUUUUCCUAGAGUUAAAUCUAAUUUUUAGAAGGCUCUAGAAUCCUUUUCAUGAGCUCCAAGUAUUUUAUUUGGAUUCCUUGCAUCCCAAUCCAUCUCUGAGAUUUAUCUCAGAUUUUUCGGAAUUUUCUAGGUAUUUUUCUCGCUUUAGAAAACGAGUCCAGC